UCUGUCAGCUUGAAGACAUUCCCCCUUGUCCUAACACUAAUGUCCACAAGGUGUUUAGCAGCUUCUUCAAAUUAGCUUCCCUGAGUUGAAAAAUGGUUGGAAUGGUUGCCUGAGAGCACAUUCAAGGUCUCCCUGGAAGUUCACAAACUCCCUAAUUUUUGUUUGCUAACACAUUGUCUAUUUUUACUGAAACCUUCUUCAAAACUGUUCAAAAUUUGUCUUAGGCCAAAAGCGUUCAGUUUAAAUACGGUUUCUGAAAAAAAAGUGAAUGCUCAUAAUUCUGCAGAAAAUGGCAAAUGUCAGUUUGAAUUCAUGCCAACUCCACUUAUUUAUUAAAAAGCGACAAUAUUUCCAUUUAAGUAAAUUCCUGUCAAAUAUUUUGACCAGCUCCCUUAAGCAUGGCUUUAACUGUGAUCCCUGUAUCCCACUGCAGCCCGUCAAAUGAACAGAGGUGAGGACGCUGAACAGAAACUGCCUGCGAGUGAAAUCGAGGGCAGACAAGGAAUUCCCUACCCCCAUGAUAGAAACCCACCCAUUGCCAAGGAAAGCUCAUUGCUCAGACUUCGAACACUACAGCUUGUGCUUAAUUUGGAUACCACGGUUCUCCUGCUAGGAGGAAAGAGUGCCAGUCUUACUCCAGGCAAAAAAAAAAAUAAAACUAGGGGCUCAGCAGAGCUGCCAGGCCCUGUCUGUCCCCAGGAGCAAUGCCAUGGUCUGCAGCAGUGAUGGCUGCAGCAGCAGGGAUGGGAUCCAGCUGAGACCCAGCCGGCUCACACGGAUGAUGGAGAGUUGGAGAUGGGUGGGGGGAGGCAUUUCUUCACACACUGGGGAGCCAAUCUGGCUUUGUUUCACCUUAAAACAGAUAUUUCCCCAGAGCACAGCCCGGUGUGAUUAACCCACUGGGUCUCAGUGGUGGAUGGGAUGACGAGAGGUGAUGGCUGCAGGUGGAAUCUUCAGACCAGACGUCAGGAAAAGCCUUCCCUUGGGUGGGUGGUGAAGCCCUGGGUUGGGUCACAGAGGUGUGAGAUUUUCCAGAUUUGGCCAAACAAAGCCACAUCUGACCGACAACAGUCCUGAUCCAAGCAGCAGGAUGGACCCGAGACCUCCCAGGAGACCUUCUGUGUUCCUGGUUUUGUUUCAUGUCCCAGUCUGGCUGACUGUGCCGUGUUCUCUGAGAUCAGGGGUAGCAUCCUCUGCUAAAGGCUGCUGUGGGCAGGCAGACCUUGGAAAAACACUGAGUCAUUUCUGUGCAAGGAUUUUUUGGGGGGACUGGCAUGAGCAAACACAGGCAGGUUAAAUUUUGGAGGCGUUUGGAGCCUACAGCCUCUGUCCUCAUAAAGCUCUGGAGAAAUACCUUUCUUCACAGGUGACCUGAGGCUGCCACAGCUGGAUGGGCUGUAGAUGAACCUUCUUGACCUCAGGCCAGCUCAGGGCCAAGGAGUGAAGGUGGAUCCCUCUUGGACCUCAUCCCCAAUCCCUCUGGGACCUCAGCCCCCACCCAGGCUCCCAGACUGGCUGCUUUAUUGUGCUCUGCCUUCAAACAAGGACAAAUGAGGCGGAAUUCAGAGAAGAGCAACAGGAAUGAUUACAGGGGUGGAGGUAAUGGCUGAGGAGGAAAGAUUUUGAAAUUUAAAGAUGGAUAGCCAGGCUGCAAGCUUACAUACAGAGACAUUAUCAUCAGUCAUUAAGCAACACAACACUUCAGAGCCAGGGCAGGCUCAUGAUUCAAGACAGUCCAGUCUCCAAAGUGCUGUAGCCCAGAGGAGCAGCACAAGGCUGGGUGGAAGGAACCCGCUCAUGCUUGUGAGCAUGAGCAUUUAUUUUUAUUUUUCCCCCUCAAUACAACAUCUCACAGCAUAAAGUGAAAUUCUGUUUGGCAUUAGGCAGUACCACUGGAGCACCAGGGAAGGGGAACCUCAGGCUUAGCAUCGGGACUCGAUGAUCUUGGAGAUCUUUUCCAACCUUAGUGACUUCAUGAUUCGAUGAUUCCAUGAUUCUGUGAUUUAGUGAUUCUGUGAUUCUGUGGUUCUAUGAUUCCAUGGUCAGGGACACUAUCUAGGAGCUGGAAUUUUCUUGUUGUGGCACUGAUCAGCCAGAGAAAGAUCCAGAGCCCCGUUGUUCAGAAGUUAGACUGGACAAAGCACCAGGCAGUGUCCAACAGUGAGUAAUCCACCGGUGGCUGGCAGAUGGACAGAGCAAUCAGAGGAAGGCUUUCCCAGUGCGGAUUUGCAGGAGAGGGGCCAGAUUUGCCUCUGGUUUAAUCCUCAGCAUCCCAGCCUUCCUGCAAAAGGUGACGUGCCGAGUCCUCCUCACACCUUCACGGGGUUUGGAUCGCAGUGUGUUCCCACAAAGUUUGCAAACCACAAACGUCACGUGGCGAGACGGGGAGGGAGAGAGUGAGCGGAGAAAGGGGAGCAAUUAAUAUGCAGCUGGUGCACGGGCUGGAGUGAAAGAGCCGCCGUUGACCACCCGGAGCUGACGCUUAGAAACGUACAAUAAAAGCUGAACGGAUGGCUGAAUGCGAGACCCAGCAAAGCAAAACAGAUGCAAUAAGCUGGGGCCAGUGGAACCAGCAGCCAACAAUGACAGCAGAGCCCACGGGCUGGGGGGCACGUGGUUGGCACAGAGAAAGGAGGAGGCCAGAAAGAGGCGCAGAUGAGCUCUGCCGAGGGAAUCAAAAGCCUGCUGUUCCCAGAGCCAGAACAAACGGCGAGUGUGCUCCUGCCACACAUGGCACCGACAGCGGGAGCGGCGUGGUCCUCGUGUCCCUGCAGGAGCCAGCCGGAGGCAGGCUGCUUCCAGACUCAUCCUCCCUCCUGCCUUCCUCCAGGGGGGGCUGCCCUCAGCACACGCUGCUGCAGGAAGCUCAAGGAUCUGCUCUUCCAAAACCAUCCUGCAGCCAAAACUCCCCUGCCUGCCACCAUCCGAGCCCUUCCCAUCACAGGGCAGGGAGAGCAUCCUUUCCUCAGCCUCCAUGGUUUGGUCAUGGGGGAAAGGGAUGCACCAGCUUGGGGCUCACACAUUGGAUUUGCUGUGGGAAGGGACGGGAAAAGGUCCACAGUGCUGAGGCCACCUGCCCCUUGCUCUGAUGGGUCAUUGUGCUGUGGGAUAGUACAAUGACCUGCACCACGAGCCUGGUGACAGUACUGCUGAGAAGAGAGCUUAUUUCAUAGCCAAGGUCACAGAUACACAGCCCAGGAGCUCUUGUGCCAGUGACAUCCACGAGUCUGUGUAGGACAUGCGAGCACAUGGAUAGCAAGUGUUUGUGACUCAUAGCAAACAUCUGGGGCAGCAGAUUUGUGUACCUGGUGAGGAACAUUUGUAUUGUGAACACCUCACCCCUAACUUCAUGUGCCCCUUGGCUUCCUUACACCAAGCAAAGGACAGCAAGGCAGAGGUUGGGCAUAUCUGCACUCACACAACUUUCAGGAGCAGUAAAUCUGCCUUGAACAUCUCAGGCCACUUAAAGAAAGAAAAAAACCCCACAAACCCACCUGAAAACUGUCUUUUGACUCCUGGCAUCUCCUCAGUUUGUUUGUGGCCUCCCUUGUGAAAGACCAUAAAAGAAAUUUUUUGUGAAGGGUAGGGUGGAGUUUCUUCUGAGAUCCUUCUUUCUGCUCCCAAUGCACAACCCAAUUUAGAGGAGUGUUGCUUCAUCUCCUCAGCUCCUCACAGUUAACCUGUAGAGCAAGACAGCCUCUGCAGUGCUGUAACAACCCAUUAGACAGCCAGUCAAUCACAUCAGUGAUCACUGUAAUGGUACAUACACCAGCAGAGGCUUCCCCACCAGAGCUGGGCACAGCAGUGCACCAGCCAGUCCCCCCAGCAUCCUACCAAGGGAUCAGAGGAUAUUAAAGAGGGAAAAAUAACAUUCUCAGCCUGUUCCCUUCUCCAGCUGCCUCUUCUUCCUGAUGGUACAGACAUAGUGUCUUGAGGAUGCUGUGCCACGUCAGAGAGUGUCCCCUCCAGGUGGUGCUCAGCCCUCUGGGCAGCUGCUGUCUGAAAACUCUGCUCUCAUCAGCUCACCAGCACCCCCUCCACAGGAAGCCAAAAUCAGACUGCAGGGUGUGCUGAAAACAGGGGUGUCUGUCUCUGUCCUCACCACUGGCUUUCUUUAUCUCAGUGGUGACCAGUGCUGCUGUGGAGAUCCAACACAGGGCGUCUGGCUAUAAAGGACAAACUGGCCUUCAGCACUGUCCUGCUUCUCUUUCCUUUUCCAUUUUGUUGUGUCCUGUCCUUAGGGUGUGAUGGGUACACAGGACAACUCCAGAAUUAGCUCUUGGUUCCCAGAACAUACACUCUAUGGCCAAUCCCUCAAAAUCUAGGUGAGGACAGCUUUAGAAAACUACAUCAGGAGAUGUUUUUAUUUCUACUCCAGCCUGAAGCCCUCUGAAGAGUGUCGCCCACAGGCUUAAGCUCUUCUCAGCAAGCCUCAAACUAACUAAAAUACAUCAAAGCAGGAUUCUCAUACACACCCCCAGACCUCCCAAAUAUCCAAAGCCUUGCAUCAAAACCAGCCAAACCAGCAAACGUCUUGAUGCCUCAAAACAGAAGGUUUUUCUGGAAUAGAAACAUCGGGUCUCCUCAAAUUACUGGACCUUGUGCAGGGGCAAUUGGUAAGAGCCUCUGGACCACACCACUCAGAGUGAUCUAAUUGUUCCUUCUGGCCUUGAAAGUCAUUUAUCAACAAUACACCAGCUUUGUACUGUGCAAAGCCUCUGUUACAGAUUUGGCAACACAAUGUCCAGACCUACACUGGCCAUUGACACCAUCAUGAUGGAUCUGCUGAAGAAAGCUUGGAUAAAGGAGUGGUACAUCUAUAACAAGGAAUAUGGUACACAUAUAAAUAUGUGCAGACUUUAGUAAGCAAUAAAUCAGUUGAGAACCCCUUAGUGUUUAGAGAAAACUACGCUAUGUUCUAGUCAAUCAAUCUGUUGCUGAAAAUAUUAUUAAUGCCUGGCACAUAGAUUUAUGAUGAAGGCUAGAUGGAUGCAAAAGAAACGUUUGUUAGUGGGAAUUUUUGAUGACUGUGCUGAAAUAUCGUUCAUUUGCGGAAAGAAAUCUAAAUAUAAUCAUCAUGGUUAUUUAUCAGGGAACAGAGAUGUGUUCAUCUGUUUCCACCUAAACAUGCAGGACACCUGUGGGGUGGGAGCUCUCCUAUCUCUCCUUUUGCCCUAAAUCAUACAAGUUAAAAAUGGGUACCUGUACACCCAGUAUUGUGACAGGAGCUGUGCCAUCAUCACAUCUUCCCAACACAAUCAGGGAUGCUGGGCCUCGGUCUGGGCUGUGUUCAGAACCCAAUGGCACAAAGUCACCGUGUAGAACAUCACCUCAGUGAGAUCUCCUGCGUGCCCCCAUGCGGGGAUGGACACAUGAGGAGGGAAGAGAGCAGUCCCUGCUGCAGACUUUGCUGAGCACAGGGUUAUGGACCUCGAAAGAAAUAUAAUGGAGCAUGUAGAGAAAGUCACUAUGAAGAGCAGCUUGUAGAGCUCGUUUUCUCGGUCAGCCAUGUCUCUGUGCAUCAUAUAUCACGCCCAUGUGUCCGGAGGAAAGAAAGAUCCCCUCCAACCCAGCAGCCCUGUAACGGAUGGACCUUCCCGACUCGCAGCGAGCUGACAGCUUGUGAGAACAACAGCUUGAAUUACUGAAAGAACUUUUCCCACUGAGUUAAUCUGCAAUGGAUGUAGGUGACCUUCUAAAGGCAUCUAUUAAUCAAAAAACCAGUGCCCAUUCACCGUGCUAGGCUGAGCCCUUUGGGGGAGG